GGAUUCACGGCAGCAGAUGGUAAGGAUCAUGUCUCACAGGGCAAUGCGCUGGCAGAUAAGGUGGCGAAACGAGUGGCCAAAUGCAACCCCACAGGUCCGUGUAACCAUUGGGAGAUGCCAUGUCCGGCACAUCCAACCCCUGAGAUGUCGCAAAUGCUUACUAAUCUUCAGUGGUAUGCCACUGAACAGGAACAGCAAGACUGGUGUUAUCCAGUAUUGCAGAAAAAUCCUAAGACAGGAUUAGUCUGCAAAGAGGGGGUAGGAUAUAACAGCAUUGAGAUACUCAUGGGAAGGCCUUUCCCCACCCGCCCGACAAUAGUGCAGGAAGGAGACCUUGAUUUUAUAAGGGAAGAAUGUCACCAAAUUGAUGCAGGUUCUUAAUAAAACUGAGGAAAAAGUUGCUUGUAAGUCUCCCUCUCUUCCACAGGAACCCACCCACCCAUACAGGGUGGGGGAUGAGGUAGUGAUCAAAACACUGAAGAAAGGAAAAUCCCAAGGUGACUUCGCAUAUGGCCCACCCACUACCGUGGUUGCAGUAACCAGAACAGCCAUGCUGACUGAACAGUCUCCAACUUGGAUCCACGCCACCCGAGUGAAGCUUGUGAGAACAAGAGAGGAGGCAGGAACGGAGGCAGACAGCCUUGGCCUUGAAGAAGGACCAGAGGUACUAACGGGGGCAGACAGCCCUGACCUCCAACAAGGCCCAGAGGUACUAACGGGGGCAGACAGCCCUGACCUCCAACAUGAUGAGCUCCUCACUCUUUUCUGGAAAAUGGUUGAAUUUACUGACUAAGAUUGCUUCAAUAAUCUUGUUGAUUUUACCAAUUAGUAGUAUGGGAGAAGUAGCCGCAACUAGCAAGGGCGGCGUCAUCACCUUUUGGUAUAAUUCAUCUAACACUCACGUAGCUACCUACACCUUUUGUCUUUGUGAUAUAUUGAAAACAUGUUCAUAUUAUAACUACUGUUCCAACAACUAUGUAGAAGGACAGGCCUAUAUAUGUGUAACAGACUCAUACUGGGGAAAAGGUUGUGCAUACUGGGGAUCAGUGGGAUGGAAUACAGGGACUGAAUGGGGAUAUAAACCAGAAAGUGCCCUCAAAAGGAGGGAUAAAGAUUCUAAGUCCCUUUUGACUAGAAUGACACUCCUUGAGAGAGGGACGUGUUAUGUGGACACCUCCUCAUUGAAUUAUUGCAAAAAAAGGUCAGCGGAAAUGAAAAUUGUAUUGACAAUAGAAAACCCUGGUAAAUAUGAUGAAGGAGAUUAUGUAUUGGGAUGGUACUUCCAUAAAAUGUGGGGAGCUGCGACUUCCCGGGUAACACAAAUGUUCAGACUUAGAGAUAUGUAGAAGUCUAAGGAAUACCAACCCAUCACAGGUGUCCCCAAAAACCCACUAGUCCCACAUAUAGUUUCUUUAAAAAACCUAAGGGCCAUAUCUGAUCCCACAUAUGAGGAUACUGUGGCCAUGGGGACGGGUUUUUCUGAUGUUAAUUUGUGGCUGGAGUGGAUGAAGUAUAGUGCAGCCUCUGUGAAUAAAAGUAACUGUUACAUAUGCGGUGCUGCCAAGCCACACCUAGGUACCGUACCCCUAGUGUUACCAGAAAGUGUUGAAGAAUGUUUUUUUGACUCUUUUUGUUAAUAUGUCUUAUAACCACAGUGCAUGUACAGAAUGGAAAUCAAAAUACCCUCUGUUGUUAAAAAAUCUUCGCCCUGGGGCAGGAAUGCAGGUAUAUCCAGGUACACUACACAUGUACAAAGGGAGUACACAUGGGAGGAAUGUACAGAAUUUCACCAAAGGUUAUUGUCACAAAUACAGCAAUCUGAACAUAUCCCUCACUCAGAACCAAGUAUACUCCAUAGGAGAUGUGUACUGGAUCUGUGGAGAUGGAAAAAUAAGAUCCAGACUGGACGGUGCCUGGAAAUUUGAAUGUGCGCUUGCCAAAGUUAUAAUGAACAUGCACAUUUUUACUGAAUCAGAUAUUAUAGAAAAAGGGGUGCUAAAGAUCAACAAAAGAAGCAGCCCCCUUUCAAGUUUUGAUCCCCAUGUGUAUAUAGAUGCAAUAGGUGUUCCAAGAGGGGUCCCAGAUGAGUUCAAAGCUAGAGAUCAAGUAGCCGCCGGAUUUGAAUCAAUAUUUCCCAUCAUUACUGUGAAUAAAAAUGUGGAUUGGAUAAAUGACAUAUACUACAAUCAGCAAAGGUUUGUAAACUAUACUAGAGAUGCAUUUCAACGGGUAGCAGAAGAACUACAAGCAGACUCAAUCAUGACAUUCCAGAAUCCAACCUCCUGCUGCACAUACAUACCAAAUAAUACUGGCCCCACUGGUAAGGUCACAAUAGCUAUAAAAAAAGCUUGAAGAUCUGUCAAUAGAACUGAAAAAGAACUCAGGUAUAAAUAAUCCCUGGGAUCAAUACUUUGGGUGGUUCACAAGUUGGAAACAAGGUCUCAUGAAACUAGGGAUUGUCAUACUAAUAGUAAUUGUAGUAAUAGGUGUAGUAGCAUUAUGUGUUAUUCCUUGUGUGAGAUGAAUGCUAGAAAAAGGGCUCUCUAAUAUGUCACUAUAUCGGACUACUCUACCCCAGGAGGAUAGAAGCCCAGAUGGGUAUAAGAAUUACCUAAUAUCAUAUAGAGAGAGAAAGGACAAGAAAGGAAAGAACCAUGUAGUGUGAUUCACUAAAGGUUCUUAAGAGGGGAUUUGAAAGGAAUCCAUGUUCUUUUUUAUGUCAAAACCAAUUGGGCUUUUUGCUGAAGUUUUGUUUCUCUGUUAGGAACUAACUCUGAUUGCUGUGAAACUAACUACUGUAAGGUUUCUAUUCUCUAUAACCCUGAAUCUUAUCUUUUUGGCACUACUCCCGGACAAUAUUCCUAAUAUGGAAGUUCCGUCUUUGUUUCUCUUUCUCUGACUGUAGAAUGAAAUGUGUUAAUAUGAUAGGUUAAAUACAUAACUUACGAUGAUAUGCUAAUAAAGAGGGUAAAGCCCCCUCUAUAUAACCUGUGUGCAUUAAAAAUAAACCUCAGAGUGUUCAUUCAGUA